rnacentral:rRNA from 1 species
UAAUACGUAGGGGGCUAGCGUUGUCCGGAAUCAUUGGGCGUAAAGCGCGUGUAGGCGGUCCGGUAAGUCCGCUGUGAAAGUCGGGGGCUCAACCCUCGGAUGCCGGUGGAUACUGUCGGGCUUGAGUACGGAAGAGGCGAGUGGAAUUCCUGGUGUAGCGGUGAAAUGCGCAGAUAUCAGGAGGAACACCAAUUGCGAAGGCAGCUCGCUGGGACGUUACUGACGCUGAGACGCGAAAGCGUGGGGAGCAAACAGGAUUAGAUACCCUGGUAGUCCACGCCGUAAACGAUGGGCACUAGGCGUCGGGGGGAGCGACCCUCCCGGUGCCGUCGCUAACGCAGUAAGUGCCCCGCCUGGGGAGUACGGCCGCAAGGCUG